UACGGAGGGUGCAAGCGUUAUCCGGAUUCACUGGGUUUAAAGGGUGCGUAGGCGGGCAGGUAAGUCAGUGGUGAAAUCCUAGAGCUUAACUCUAGAACUGCCAUUGAUACUAUCUGUCUUGAAUAUUGUGGAGGUAAGCGGAAUAUGUCAUGUAGCGGUGAAAUGCUUAGAUAUGACAUAGAACACCUAUUGCGAAGGCAGCUCACUACACAAUUAUUGACGCUGAGGCACGAAAGCGUGGGGAUCAAACAGG
rnacentral:rRNA from 1 species